AGAAAACUGAUACAUACCUCUAAAGCCAAGAAAUAUCCUGCAGGUCCAGCUGCACCUGCACCAGGGAACUUCUCACCCUUUCAGCAGGUGGACAGGAAGCCCCAGGGGUAGAGACAUGCUCAGUGAAGCGAGUGACCUACAAUUUGAGGAUGGUGGCAAUCCCAGGCACCCCUGUUGCAUAACACUCCUCUGAGAGCCAGGCCCACAUGGGACUCACCUAAACAGGCACAAGACACGGCCUUCCUGCCAACCUGCACUUCCUCUGCAGGCAGCUCAAGAGGUGUUGAACUGAGACAAAUGGAUCCAAACAAUUUCAAAGGGUAAAGUGCUGCAGUGACCUCACCUCUCUGUGUGUCCUUUUCCUCGAAGAUCUGGAACCUGAUAAUCUUCGAUCUUAGUAGUGCUCCAAAGUCUUCAAACAAAUGUUUCCUUAAAAUACAUUCAUCAAAAACCA